UAAAAUAUUUUAUCGUGAUUUCUACUUUUUUACUAUGUCGCACAGCGAAGAUUCUCUUAGUUACUCUAGCUUAGAGUCUGAUAACAUAACGGAGAGCAAUUUAGAAGGAAAUAUGAACGUAACGAAUUGUUUUGAGCCGUAUCAAGGGGAACUAUUGCCAGUACAGACGACAGCGAAUCUUCUGAUGAGGAACAGGACGAAGAUUACAUUUUGCCAUCUGUUUUGGAGAAGCGUUUAGAAAAAAUAUUCCAUUAGCACAUUGGUGAGUUCUACAAACAAAACUAAGUUACUUUAUUAUGAUUUUCAUGCAAUAUUUCCCUGAUAUUUGCCUUAUUAUUUAUCUCUGUUGCAGGUGUUCGUGUGGGAAUUGUGCCGAUCAAAAUCUGGCGAGUGUUCAGAGUACUGUUGCUGCAAAGAGAUUGUGUAAGUAACUGGAAAAUUUACUUGGAUUGGCAAGAAUGUUGAAUACAUCCUUAAUCAUCCUGACUUCAAUGCUAUGACAAAAGAGAAGUGAAGUUGGGCCUCUUCUAUUUACAAACAUGGAACUGAUGGAAGCUCCCAUGGAAUAAAAAAUGGCGCAGAUAAAAGGUACAUAUACUUCGGUUGUGCAUAUUAAUUCUGACUAGUAGCGAAAGUAAAACAACUUUACAGGUUCUAUAAAGAUAAAUUUGUGUUGUUGUAGAUUCCUCAGAGCAGUGUCAUAUCGUCGGCUGUUUGGCUUGAUGGGCUGGGAGAACACCAGCCCUUGUCACCAUGCAUUUACCAUCAUAUAAUGACUGCAUGUAUUUUGUACUGGUGAUGCUGGUAUAUAUCUGGAGAAGAGCAAACGGAUAAUGAUAACUGAAGUCAC